UACGAAGGUCCCGAGCGUUGUUCGGAAUCACUGGGCGUAAAGGGAGCGUAGGCGGCGUGGUAAGUCAGAUGUGAAAUCCCGGGGCUCAACCCCGGAACUGCAUCCGAUACUGCCAUGCUAGAGUGAUGGAGAGGUAGCUGGAAUUCUUGGUGUAGCAGUGAAAUGCGUGUAGAUCAGGAGGAACACUCGUGGCGAAAGCGAGCUACUGGACAUUUACUGAUGCUGAGGCUCGAAGGCCAGUGUAGCGAAAUGG
rnacentral:rRNA from 1 species